CGAGCGCCGCGCUGCGGCUGAGGGUGGAGCCGGAUGGCACAAGCCGUCCACGUGGGGGGAUAUGGUGAGGCUGUUGGAUGGGUACGGCGGGUGCACGGAAUAUGAUGUGGGCGAUGUUCCGAAGGUGGUUGUGGAUACGACGGCGGCUGUUGGAUUUGAGGAGAUUGUAUCCAAUGUGGUCGAGUUCAUUGAAACGCACAGUGGUCAGCCCAUGGCAUCUGAACACGAAGGAUAAAACUUAUGAAUUGGAAUAACAAUUAGGCUAAACAAAUAAUGUGGAAAUCCAAAGUACAAAUUAUAUAGGAAACUUCUGAGAUCUGAAAAUAUUGUCAUAUAAUUAAUCAAGCUCUUUUCUCUCUCCUUUUUAUGCCGAUUUUCUUAUCAUCUCUCCUUUUAAAUUUAUGUCACAUUAUCAGAACGCUCUUAAAGCUGAGUUAAAGAGAGUUUGACCAUCUUCAAUCAAAGGAGUAUUAUGUUUCAAUCAUAAGGGUUUUUGUCAUGAAUGGUCUAACUCAUCCUUUUGGUCCCAUAAUUUCCAAAUCGAUAAAUUUGGUCCCUGAAAUGUAGUGCCGCACAUCAACGUGCUCCUUCCGUCAAUAAUUCGUCAAAUUCUUCAUUAAAACUACACGUGACGACUCUUGUGGCCUUUUGGUGGAGGGCUUUACCUUUCCCCCAAUACUGUUUUCCUCUCUAGUUAGAGAGAUUUUAAAAAGCUAGGGUUUGGCAAAUUGGGGAUUUUGGCAAGAGAUAAUCAAUUCUCCUUAGAUUAGGACUCUCAAAUUUAGAAAUUUGUGGGGAAUCAUUGAACUUUGGUGGAUUGUGAGUAAAUUUUGUUGAAUUGUGAGCAUGUCUUAGAAAUUCCGCAAAUCUGGAAAACCUCCAAAAUAUGGUGAGUAUUAUUUAUCUUCUUUCCAUGAUUUAUUUAUACUUUUGAUGGUCCCAAUAGUCCUUAAUAUUUUUUAUAUGUGGUGGUGGGGUUUGUGUAGUUUGAGAUGGUGUGGGGUUAGUGUUGGUGGUGAAUAUGUUUAUAUAUGUGGUCUUGUUUCCUUUCUUUUGUCAUUUUGCAUUAAAGAUUGCAUAGUUUUAUUGAUAUGGAGUUUGGUUGUUGUGUAUUUUUAUUGUUUUAGUUUUCAUUGUAUGGCAUAGAUUUAGGGUUUUGACUGUAAAAUGUGGCAAAAGUAAUUGACUUAGAUUUAGAGAAUAAAAAACUAAUUGACGAUUUGCUUUACUAAUGUAUUAAUCAAUCUGUUGCAGCUAAUACUGAUAAAUUCACAUAUAACAAUUAUCACGAAGGUCAGGUUCUUAAGAAGGGAAAUAAGGAACACUACAUUAGAGGUGGUUAUAUUCUUAGAUUGGGUUCUUGGUGACUUCCAAUCCUUGGUAAAGUGUCACGAUAUAGCAAAGAAACUGGUAUAAGGUGAAGUUGAGCCACCAUAAAAUGUUGCAUGUGGGUACGUUUGAAGAAAUAGCAUGUGAUGCACAAGUGACAGAUUUAAUCGAGGACAUGCCAAAUGAUAAGGUAGUUGAAUUAUAUGUGAUUGACAAGAAUGUGAAGGCAAUUAGUAAAAGUGACAAGGGUGCUGCUUCAAGUAAUGGAGAUAAAGGCAACAAAUUACAAAGUGAAAGUGACAAGAGUCAAGCUUCAACAAAUGCGGAGAAGGCAAACAAAAUGGUACCUGCAAAUGUGUUAAUUGAUGUAGGUGUGGUGCAAGAGUUUGAGAUAACAUAAUCUUUAAGUUAGGAUGACAGAUUUCAUGAAUUUUGGCAAGAUGGGGAAUUCACAAUAGAAAAUCAAGGAGAAAAAGAAGAUUCUGCAACAAAAACUUAGGGAAAAAAUAGGGAUGAUGAAGAUGUUGAGGGAGAUGAAAGUGAACAACCUAAAAUGUGGAGGAAAUAAUCAAAAUAGUGAUUAUGACCAGGAUUCAGAUCAGGAAAUUGAACAUGCACACGAGAAUGUGUUAGAAGAUGAUUUGUUUGAAAAACAGGUAGACAACCCAAUUGAUUUUCCUUAUUAACACUAAGAUUUGUCAAUUGUAGCAUAUGAAAAUAAAGGUCUUUCCCGCAGAAGAUUGUUUUAUCUAACUACUUAAAAUGUCACAAAAACUGGUUGUUGUCCCUACUGACCAGCCAUUGAAAAAUAAUUAUUAGACUGACUUACACUAAUCUAAAGUCUACGAAAUUUUAUAAGCAAACACUAGACACACAGAGCUACACUUCUACAAAUAUUUGGGAUUUUUGGAUUAGAUUUGAUAUUUAAAUUAAAUCAAACAAAAACAGGACAGAAACAAAUUUUAAAUAGUUCAUAAAUUAAGAAAAACGAGUUAGGGGAAUUGCUAUCCACCACCAAAUAAUCAUGCAAACAUGUUAUGUUUCAUUCAAAUUCCUUUUAUUUCCGGAUGAAGAUGCUCAAGUUGGCUCAAUGUUAGAACUCAACCUAUUACUUUGUAUUACGUAGUAUGUUAAGAGAAUGGCGUUUUCAACUUAACUUAGUCCCUAGCAUGCAAUUUAGAAUGGCGUGUUUAUAGAUUUAACAAGUAUGAAUCAUUAAGAACGAAAAGAGUUUGAGUCAUCACAAGGCAUCGUUAGUACUGGGGUUGUCUUACUUAUCCGAGAAAUUGGUUCACAUGUUAAUCGCAAUUAACAAGUACUACUCUAGAACAUAUGUAGGUCCUCAUUCUAUAAGGGCAGGCACACACAUAUUCAUAGCAUUAGAAUCCUAGAUAUGUUUACUACGUAUGCAUCCAUAGAAAACAAAUAAAGAAUUCAUCAAUGAGACAAGUAGUGAACCAAUUUUCAUCCAUUCAUAAAAGUAAUUCAAACGAAAUGUCAUAACAAACUUGCAAUCAUAUUCGGGGCUUCAAAACAGCCCAUAACUACUAAAAAAUUAGUUACACACAAUCCUUAAAUAAAAACAAAAGAUAGACAUGAGUUUGAGAAGAUAGAACCGAAAGAAAUCGACUAAGGCCUCCUCCUCUCUUCCUUCCUUCCCCAAUGCUGCUUUUAAACCAAUUCUUGUUGCAUCAUUUUCUUCUCCUUAACUCACCCACUAAUAGCCAUUUAGUGAUGACAAUAAGUGAGAGGAAAUGUGGUAAAACAAUUGUAACACUUUAGGUAGCCUUUAUGCCAAUUACUCCCUCUUAAUCCUCAUUUUUAUUUCCAUUUCCUCUGAUAUUUGAAUAGGUGUCAGCUGACUUGUUCUUGGCUGCAUCAGUUUUGGCUGCUAGAUUUAUUGGGUUUAUUGCUUUCAUUGCAGUUACAAACUGCCCAGUCUCUUGUGAACCUUUCAGUGUUAAAACGGCCAUAACUUCUUCUACGAAAAUGAUAUUAACAAUCCGCGAAAUGCUCCAGACAAUAGACAUCCGUAGCUUUCCAAGCAUAUAAGGAUCAUUCUCUAAUUCAUUUUGAGCUGUUCGCAACUUGCUUCCAAAGUCAGCUGAUUUGCACAGGCAGUUUUGACGAAUUUGUUACUAAAAAUCCUACUUGUGCUAUUUUUCUUUUAUUUGCUUGACAAAUCCCACAAAACACAAAAACAAAGUAAAUAGCUCAAAAAUAUAAGGAACUAACUAAGAAAAGAGAAGUGAAUUUGAUGUAAAAUAUAUAUAAAUAUGAGCUUAUUAGUUUGCUGGGGAAAUUUCAGAUAAUGAAGCCAUUUCUUGGACCUUUCUUGGACCUUUAUAGCUUGGAAGCCCACACUUAUGAGGAAGAAGAUGGUGCUGAGGUGUCUAGCAAAAAGAAGAGGAAGAAACCUAUGCCUAAGGUUAAAUAAUGGCAUACAACUACAUAUUUGAAGAAUCCUGAUAUUUGCAUGGGUAUGUUGUUUUCUAAUAAACAACAGUUCAAGAAGGCAAUAGUAUACUAUACUAUGAAGAAUGAGCGAAAAGUUGCAUCUGUUCAAGGAGGCAAUAAUACCUUGUCCAACAUGCUCACUGAUCUUUAUAGGCAAACUAUUUAGCCCAGAUACUAAGAUCAUUAAUAGGCAAGUUAAUUAAUCGCCUACGAUCCUUACAGAUCCUCCAUUUUGUUCACAGCAGAUUCAAGGGAAUAUUUGCGAACUAAUCCAACCAAAAUACGAACCAUUUAAUUAUCUUCUAGUUUGGGUUGACGUAUCGACACAUUGGUUAUAUGUUUGUCCACACCCAAUGCUGCUUUGCUAGACUCUUGGCACCAAUUAUUUGGUUGCAGGCUCACCACCCCUACUAUCAUAAAGUCCAGAAGACUGACAUUACAAUUGAUAACUAGGUACAAGCAUAAAGUUUUGUACUUAUGGGUUUUGGGUGUACAUUUAUGUGUCAAAUGCGCCAUAUCAAUGUACCAAUACAAGUCCUUACAAAAGGUGAGUCAAUGUCAAUUAUGAUUCCCCUAAGCCCUUGCAAGCAAUCUUUUUACCUCUCAGUUAGCGGAUAGUCAUUUCAAUGAGACAGUCUUCCCGUCGUUAGGAAGAGAUAAGAACGUAAACUUUCUUGAAGAACAAAGCGAAUUAUCGUGGACAUCCCCACUGUGUCUCAUCCCAAUCCCUAUUCUAGAUUUACAUAAUGCUACUAGACGUUUUCUCUGAUCUAGUGAUAGUGACAAGAUCACAUAUACCAAUAGGAAACAUGCUUGCAAUGAUGAAUUUCUUUAACAAAUGUCUUUUUGUUCCCCAGAAUGGAGGACGUCCGUACGUCUUUUUGUUCCCUAGAAGAGAGGACGUCACGAUGCUACUAAGUGUGUGAGGAGAUUCCUAGCACCUAUUGGUCAAUCCUAGUACAUUGGCAGCUAGCCAAUCAAUCUGUCAUCCGGUGGAAGUGCAACAAAUCACUCGGUUCAAAUAAUUCACCUACUUAGAAGUAGAGGAACAUGGCACAAAAAAACUCAUUCCUCAAUCGUUGUAUUAAUCAUUUCCAUCUCAUGAGAUUAAUCUAGAUUACUCCCGAGACUUGAAGUUCUUGGUUCAAUAUACUAGUUUGGUGAGAUAUGGAAUUGAAAUAAGAUUAUCAUCGGUGAUGUUUCACUUAUAUUGUAUCUACCGACAUAAACGAAAAUCAACGAUAUCGAACCGCUUUUCGUUGAUUAGUGACAACGUGGAACUGAUUGGUCAACUAGAAAUAAACAAUCCAUGUCGAAUAAGAGGAUUGAAAUAGUGCGAUAUAAUGUCGCCUUAUGGCACAAGACUUAUCUCAUAUGCCUUGAAUUGAUUGCAGCACUAUAAAUGUGGUUAUAACAUAUCUCUAGGAUCCUGAUACGAAAUCCACAUAUACGAUUCUAGAAGAAUUACAUAUACUGGUUCAAAUAGUUAUAGGCCCCAAGACACCUUCUCAAUUUAGAUGAGGCUUUCACUUUAUGGAUGCAAAACAAUAUAGUCGAAUGUGGUAUACCCGUUUAAGUAAAUGUUGAUCAGUUAGGGAGAUAUGCCCCUGCGUGUACAAAAUUAAAAAUUGCUAGAGUUGUAGUUUAUGUCGAUGACAUACUAUCUCGCACCUGAAGUUGGAAUUUGAGAUAAAAGAUCUUGGAAAAAUUCGACACUAUCUCGGCUUGAAGUCCAACUACACCAAAUGGUGUUGCUAAGUAUACCCCUGAUUGUCCAUACGUUACAUGCAAAUGAGACCUUGGAGAUUCCAUAUAUAAGUGUAAUUAGCGUUUAUUGUACUUAACUUAGAGCAUUAGAUUAGACAUCUCAAGUGUUGAUAAUCUUUUGAUAAAAAGGUAGCACUACGCCUUCAUGCCACCACCAAAUUGGUGUUAAAAGACCUUUUUUAGCUAUCCUAAAAAUACUACGGAAUUGCGCUUAUCCCUACGCAUCCUGAGCAUAAUCAACCCCUUUGAUCAUCAGAAUGAUACUUGCCUUACUUUUUAUGUUAACGUUGGUUGUUUAUCAAACUCGCACAAGGCACAUUCCCAAAUGGUCAUGUAUUUACCGUUAAGGAACACGUCAAUAUCUUGGAGAUAAACCAAAUAGACCUUAGUUGUGAUGUCUUCAAGCUUGCACCAUAUACCACGCAACAUGAAUAGAGGAACAUCUUCGAAGCACCUGCAAUUUUCAUCCUUGGUUGAGUCCCAUUCAAGAACUAAGAAGUCAACACCAAACUUAUUGUGUCUACAUCAGUAUGAGCAUCAGAAGAUUGAAGUCAAGCAAUCCGAUCCCGGACAACCUUGUCGAUUUCUACAUGAAGUCGCUACCAAAGCUUACUUUCCAGAAGCUUGUCUGAGUAAUUGUAUGUGUAACUAUCUCAUUAGUAAUGCUUGUAGUUCUCAUUUGGAAGUUUUGUCAAACUCAAGGGAGUAUCCAGAAGUAUACUCACUUGAUCUUAAUGUACUCUUUUCCCCUACGAUUAGGAGUAUUUUUCCCACUGAGUUUUUGCUACAUGACUAGGUUUUGACAAGACACCCGUCUUGGAUUGGUCAUACCAUUGGGAGCGCUCUACUUGUAUCCACAAGAUGUAUAGUUUUGAUUUAAUGCAACUUCUCACUUUUCUCUUCAGACUAUGAGUGUUUAUCCCAUCUUGGGUUUUACCAUAGCAAGGUUUUGUGAGUAUUACUACCUAUGCAUUCUUCCAUUUGUUUUGAUACUCGCAUUCACUACUUGUGCCAACUAGACGAGACAAUUUCAUAUGUUUCUACAUUUACCUAAGGAUCUUAUGCUAUAUCUACUUGAGUAUUUGCACACUCAAUGGGGAGUAUUGUGAAUAUAUAUCAAGCACAUGUGUGGUUGUGUAAAUCAUUAGUCGAUUGUAUUUAGGAUAGUAGAAGAUUAUUCCCUUUCUGGGUAUAUUACUUCAAGGCAAGAAAUCCUCAUUGGUUUACUAUAUAUAUGGGCACAAGGUCUGAGGAAUAACACACAUAAUUCUUCAAGCCGAUUCUCCAUCUCUCUUUCUAUCUAUGACACACCCUCUAUUUUUCUCAAACAAAAAUAGGUCAUGGUAUUCAAUAUUUCAUGAUUGUUAACCAAACAUAAGAAUAAAAUAAUAGCCGCCUCAUAAAUGAUUAAUUUAUAUAUAUAAUUCUAUUCUGAUUUAUUCAAUCGCUAAUAAAAUUACGAAGAGUAUUGGAGAAAAAUAAAAGAAAGUGAAAAUGUUUCAAGUAAAAUAAGGCCAAUGUCAUCCCAAACCAAUGUCACAACAUAAGAGUAUCCUCAGUGAGGGGUUGUAUAUGGGGCUGGAAAAGUGGUGGAUAUAGAUCAUUUUAGAGCUCUGAGGAAUCUUUGGGGCUUUAUAAAAGAAUCUCUCCUAACGAGGGGCUAUUUCUUUCGGGCUUUGUAUAGGGCUAUAUAUAUUUAUUUAUGUCGAUAACUUUUUUUUUUGUGGUAACUUUUCUUAUGUUGAAUUUUGGACGUGAUAUCUUUUUCUUUUCUUUUUUUAAAUUUUUUUUUUGUGAACCUUUCAACCUAAAGAAGUUCAAAUUGUGACAAAGUUAGAUUUCAUCACUUAUGGACCGUUUGUUGGAUUAGAUUCUCUUAUCUUAAUCUCAUUCAUUGAAAUAUUCAAACCCUCACUUCGCCUUAUAAAAUAAUUUGAUUUUCAGGUACAUCACAACAAUUUACCUAGCACCAAUUGGUAAAUUAAUAUAAUACAAUUUUGAAAAAAAAAUUAUUUGAAAAUUUCACCCACCAAUGCCUAUGAACGUUAAAUUAAUUUAAAAUUUUAAUUCUUAUGGAAUUUAAAACAAUCAUUAAUUAGCCAAAUUGCAAGAAAAUAUGUAAGGAAAAGAAUUAUAAAAAAAAAGAAUAAAAGGAGAAUAUAAGUGUAUCCGAGAGAGUGAUAUAAUUUUAAUUACAUGGGUUGUCACCUUUUUUGUGAUGAUUGGAGUCACUAAAUAGAGAUGCUCUAAGAAAGUAGUACGUAAUAUCUAUUUUUAACCAAAAAUGAUUGUAGCCGCCUUGCCGGUAAUGAUGAUGGUCAUGUGUUCCCACGAUGGUCAUGUGUUCCCACGUCUGGGGAACUCAGUCCACCGAUCUGGGUCUGCCUCCCUCCCUUCUUGCGUUACACCCCACAAACCCAAAGAAAAAAGGAGGGAAAAUUCUUAAUCUCUUGAUUAAUCACUAUUUUAUUCUUAAUAUAGUCUGAACAUAUUAAUCUUAAUUAUUGAUGUAAAAUAUAUGGUGCUGAGUAUGCAGAAAAUGUGUUUACAUUAAAUUCUGUUGUUAACAAUACCCAUUGUGUUGAAUGUUUGUCUUGUUACUUCCAGUCAACCGUUUGCUCUGACCGGUUGCCUUCACAGUUCACAGCCACUUCCUUGUUUGCUUUCAGAGAGAGAGGGAGACAGGGAGGGACAGAGAGAGAAAGAGAGGAGAGAGAUAGAGAGAGACAAAGAGAGAGAGAGAGAGAGAGAGAGAGAGAGUGGGGCUUUUAUGCCCUAUUCCUUCAAAAUCUCAUUGAAUUUCAGGGCAUCAUCUUGAAAGCCCGAAGCUUUUUUUGGUCAAGUCUGAGGUCUUUCAAGCUCUUUGUCAAAAGGGUGUCCUUGUUUGCAAUCUUAAUCCAUUUUUCUCUGAAAUUUUCUCAAAAUUUUUCGGGGUUUUGAAUUUUUUACUCAUAUUUUUGUUCACUAUUGAAAGUUAGACGCUUUAGAUUUGAUGGGUUAUGAAGCUCAAGCCCAUAUUUCUCUGCCUGGAUAUGGAGGAUUCAUUGUCUCCAACUGGGUGCCUAGCUUUCUGUAUAAUUAAAAAUUAAUCCUUUUGCUUAUUAUUAUUUUUUUUUUUGGAUUUUGAUCAAUGUUUCCGCAACUGGGUAAUUCCUGGAAUUAAGUUUGGACUUUUUGAGAAAUUGGGUAAUUUUGGUUCAGAAUAUUUCUCGCUUUUGAUAGUUCUGAGCAAUUUUACUGUGUUUGGAGAAAUCGGGUACUUUUUGAUAUGAUUUCUCCGUAGGAUUGUGCAGUUUGCGCAGGAGAAUCAACCCGAUUUCGGGUUCUCUUAAUAGGGUGGUUUUGGGGGUUGUUGGAUCAUUUAUUCAUAGCAUUUGUUAAGCUUAGACAGAACUGCAUAGAUUUUGGAAGCCAUGGAUAACGUCAAUGAACUGUCAUCAUCCCUGAGCUUUUCCUCCUCCUCCUCCUAUCUGUCAAAUGGGUCCAGUAGUAACCAUGUAUCUGCCUCUGCCUCGGCCAGUUCUCAAAGUAUUGAACAUUAUUUGAGUCUAAGCAAACUGAGUGAUAAUCUUGAGAGACUGUUACUUGAUCAUGAGUAUGACUAUAGUGAUGCUGAGAUUGUUGUUGAGAGAAACACCGUGGGUGUCAAUCGGUGUAUAUUGGCUUCCCGGAGUCAGUUUUUUCAGUACCUUUUUAGGAAGGGGAGUGAUGAUGCGAAGACGGAAGGUAAACCGAGGUAUCUCAUGUCUGAAUUGGUUCCAAACGGCAGGGUUGGCCACGAAGCCUUCAAGGUUUUCUUGAGCUAUUUGUACACUGGGAAGCUUAAUCCAUCUUCUGGAGAAGUAUCCACGUGUGUUGAUGAUCGUUGUCCGCAUGAUGCGUGCGGCCCUGCUAUCAGUUACGCUGUGGAAUUGAUGUAUGCUUCUUCCACUUUCCAGAUGAAGGAGCUUGUUCAGCUUGUUCAGGUUUGUUCAAACUUUGACUUCUUGUGUUGCUCUUUUGCGAAUGAUUGUGUGCCGUGCAGGGUAAUUGUUUGUGUUCUCUCUUUGUCGACUUGCAAUUUGUUGCAGACUCUUUAUACUUACAGCCUGAAAACUUUGCAGACUCUUUAUAAUUGAUCAAGGCCCGGUCGAAACCUAGAAAAUCAGAAAAGGGCAUUUUCUAACUUGAUACAGUUUAUGAAGACCACUUGCUUGCCUACCCAAGGGUCAAGUGGUAUAGACUGACCAGCUACACAGCCCAUAAAGUACUUUAUGGUGGCAUUACAUGUAAAAUAGCUGAUGAGUCAUCACCCUCAAACCGCAUUCGGGCAAGGCUGCUGCUACAAGAGGCCAAACCGAGUUGACUAUAAAAGGAGAAAGAGAAGCCAUGAAUAAUGACACUCAAUCAAACAAACAAAUGCAAGCACAAACUCUUCUCAAAGCCAGAUUUGCCUUCAAAACGAAGCUGUAGUCAGCCCAAGCCUUCAUCCCUCUCGGGACAAGCUUUUAUCCCUCGCGGGAUAACCUUUCCUUCAAACCUUUGUAAUAGCUCUGCUACCCUGCCCAAACUUGGUGUAGUAUCGAUUCACUUUUUGUAUCUCUCUCUCUCCCUCUCUUUCUCUAAGCUUUCAGACCUUUGACAAAACUACAAAGAUAGGGACCUGCAAGACGAUCAGCCUUAACUGAUAAGGUUUAACCUUGCCCGACCUUCUUUGUUUUGUUUUUGUCUUUUCAUUCUUUAAAGCCUAGUAAUAUGUUGUAUACUUCCAAUUAUAUGCAAGUUAUUUCUAGCGAGGACUAUUAAAACGCUUUCUCAGUAUUUGGAUCCGAUUUGAAUAUAUCUUCAGUGUUCAAACUAGAUCCAAAGUCCUAAGCCCUCGGGCGUGUAAAUCUGAUCAAUUAAAAGUCCUUGGUCUCAAGGCAUAAAAAAGAACUUUAUGUGGACUUAACCCAUCCAUGACAGUCCUUGAUAAACGAGAAGUCCGAAGUUACUUGGGGCGCAAGUAAUCGACCUACCUCUUUGUUUUGUUUCUAUUAUAUUAUGAUUAUCGUAGAACACUUAAGCAUGGAAUGAAUUCUGAUGGGAAGCCUCAAGGCCUACACCUAAGGCCCCACGAAGGCACCUAUUUGGAUUCAUUCCGUCUUGCGAUCUAGAAUGUUUGAGUAUUAGAACGAACUCCAAUGGGAAGCCUCAAGGCCUACACCUAAGGCCCCACAAAGGCACUUAUUUGGGUUCGUCCUACCUCUCAAACUCGGGUAAUCAGAAGUAUAAUAGUUAUAAGACUCCUGCAAUCACGAGACCAAAUAUGAUGUGUUCGAGCACUGGUUUAGUUUGAUAGGAAGCCUCAAGGCCUAUACCUAAGGCCCCACAAAGGCACCUGUCACAUCUAACACGGCUUCUCGGGUAUAUACAUAUUUACAACGAAAACGCGACAUGCAUUCUACAUCUGCCAUACUACAGAUGGCAGUGGCACGCCUGAGCACCUCAAAGUUAAUCUUGAUUGUGAGUCUCAAGGCCUACAACUAAGGCCCCACAAAGGCACCUUUCAAAUUAACUAUGUCAUUCUCUUUCAGCCUUGCCCGACGAGCCUUGCCCGACGAGACUUGCCCGAUAAAGACUUGCCCGACCAAGCCCGAUAGUGAAAUAGAAGCCCGACAGCAGCCCUCAACCGGCGACAACCUCCCGGGGAGCUGUGUGCUCGUCGGCCAGGAACCAUCCCCGACGGAAAUUCCUGACACGAACAAGAGUAAUAUAAUUUUGAUCACAUGAGUUGUUACUUUUUUGUGAUGAUUGGAGUUCCUAAACAGAAAUGCUCUAAGAAAGUAGUACGUAAUAUCAAUGGUUGCUAUUUUCAACCAAAAAUGAUUGUAGCCGCCUUGCCUUGCCGGUAAUGAUGAUGGUCAUGUGUUCCCACGUCUGGGGAACUCAGUCAACCGAUCUGGGUCUGCCUCCCUCCCUUCUUGCGUUACACCCCACAAACCCAAAGAAAAAAGGAGGGAAAAUUCUUAAUCUCUUGAUUAAUCACUAUUUUAUUCUUAAUAUAGUCUGAUAACAUAUUAAUCUUAAUUAUUGAUGUAAAAUAUAUGGCGCUGAGUAUGCAGACAAUGUGUUUACAUUAAAUUCUGUUGUUAAAAAUACCCAUUUUGUUGAAUGUUUAUCUUGUUACUUCCAGUCAACCGUUUGGUCUGACCAGUUGCCUUCACAGUUCUCAGCAACUUCCUUGUUUGCUUUCAGAGAGAGAGAGAGAGAGAGGGAGACAGGGUGGGUGUUAAGAACCUGCUCAACCUGUACAAUGUAGCAAGGAAGAUAUGGAGUGGAAGAGGUAGAAGACGAGCACGAAACUCGUGUGAAUUUCAAUUAAUAAUACUCAAAUAUUAGUCUGAGGAGCAAUGAGGCCAUUGCUCCAUUUAAGUAGCCUUUCCACUCAGAAAUGCCAACUCAGCAUUCCAUUACAUAACCACUCACUAAAGGACAAACCCUUUUAUUUACUAAACUGAAAUUACAACAAAAGGAAUAAAAUGCAUUUCCUAACAUCACUCCCUCCUUAAAAUCAACCUUGUCCACAAGGUUUCAGAGCUGAAAUGUUGGGAAUCUGGCAUGAAAAUCAUCAUAAUCCUCCCAAGUAGCUGUGCUCUCUUCUUGUCCAACCCACUGUACUAGCAACUGAACACCUGCCUUGUCUUCCUUCUUGUAAAUUCUCCUGGCAAUAUUGCCAAAGGAGCAUCUGAUGGAUGAGAGUCUCGCAUCUGAGCUUCAUCUGUCAGUGUUGGCAGAGCUGUUAUGGUUGAAUCCACAUUUCCCAUGUGCCUCUUGAGGCAGCUGACAUGAAAAACAGGAUGGAUUUUUGUUCCCUCAGGUAGUUUGAGUUUGUAAGCAACAGGUCCUACUCUCUCCAAUACCUCAUAAGGACCGUAGUAUCGAGGGUGUAGCUUGUGAUAAGCAUGUGAAGCCAAUGUUUGCAACUGAUAUGGCAGUAGCUUGAGAUAGACUAAGUCACCAACAAAAAA
rnacentral:lncRNA from 1 species